ensembl:lncRNA
GCGCGUCUCGCUCAGGCCCCGAUGAUAAAGUGAUUACUCUGAACUGAGGCUCAGCUUUGAAUGCGCCGAAGCACCGAGCCGCAGUAACGCGUGCGACCCACGUACGUAUUUCCAGGUCAAGACUGUUUGUUUACGUUCUGGAACUCCUGAGUGCAGCUGAGGCAAAAUAACCCUUAACAAACAUGCCGUGUGUCCCGCGUCCUCCGGCUGGACGUGCUGUCGUCUCCUGCAGGAGAGACGUGAGGCCAUCGUGCGCUUCAUGACCGAGGGGCGACUCAACAACCUGCUGGACGUGUUGCGGGCGAGGCGGGCGGUCACACGCGAGGACUACGAGUUCAUCACGGCGGCCAUGACACUGAGCGCACGCACGCGCUGCCUCCUGGACACGUGCGCUUGUCUGGGGGAGAAAGUCGCCGUCCUUGUAGCCACCACUCUGGGUCUGGUCUCUAUCGAGGCCACAAACGGACACGCCCGCUCUGUCUCUCUCUUCUAAAGGCCAGGGAAUGAAAUCACUAAAGUGUUCCUCUGUUAUUGACCUCGUUAGUGAGUUAUCUAAGAAGCAUCACGCCCUUUGUUAUAGAGACGGCGACAGAUUUGAUGUAAACUCGGCGCGUGCGACUUGAUCAGACGAGAGCUGAUCUGAUCACAGCGCGUCAGACAUCAUCAGCAGCAUUCUGUGGAGGUGUGAACCUCUUAAUCAGCACCUUUUUAACUCUUUUAAGUGAAUCUCAGGCUAUCAAAGAGGUCCGUGAUCUAUUACAACCUAAUUUAAGGAGCGUAUUUGUUCAGUUGUUUGUAAAAAAUGUUGUUUUUAAAAAAAAAAAAAUUAGAAGUUUUCCGUUUCUAUGGUCUUUUUUUUUUUCCGUCCAGCUUUUAAACGUACGCAUUGUUUCUGUCGCUUUUAUGAACCUAUGUGUGAGCUGGGAUUGUCCAUAUUUCUCUCAGUAUGUAAGCAUGGUAUGCUCUCCCGUAGGAGACGUCGUGCACGUUGCACAAACACGAGUAUUUCCUCAUCUAGUAGUGGAUUUUAUCCUGCAAGUAUCUUGUAACAAGAACGUCUUUAUUUUUUUUCACUGUUUUAUACAGCACCACGGUACAGCUCGUGUACCGUAUGGGGUUAAUCGGUGGACAUUAAAAAAGUUUAAAUGCAGUGGUGUGUGUUGGGGUUUUUUUUUUUCUUUUCUUCCUUUCAG